GGCCNCGGGGCGGGCUCAGCCCCGAGCGGCCCCGCCACCGCCCCGCUUACUCCGCCUCAGCCCCGCUGCCUGCCCGGCCUUUGGGAUCCACCAUGGCCAUUGCUGGGGUGUGCAUUAGCGGCUGUGAGAACAAAACCAUCGCGUCUCUCACUCGUGGGUAAAAUAAGUUUUGUGAAGGCCUUACUGCCAGUGGAAAACCAUUUCAGGUCACUACAACGGACACCUCUGUGCAGGGAGGGUUGAGAAUAGAAGCGCGGUAAUUACCCGGAAUGACCAACACUACAAGAAAUUAAAAAGCAAGCAGAGAGGUUACUGCUUUAUCCAACCUCUAUUAAUUACAAGGACUUUGAGCAAUCAGGACUUUGAGCUCCCAAGUUGGUAAGUGACCUCGGCAGGCUGGCCCACAGGGAUGGUCUAAUCUACAGAUCAGAGGUGUCUAAACCAGAGAUCAGAGGCUUCUCAGAAGCUGAGCUACUGUUCAGUGAGGUUCCAUGAGCUCCUUCACAGCAAAGGCUUAUGAACCAGCUAUACUAAAAGAUCAUCAUUUAAGGCACAAAACUGUUGGGAAAAUUUGCCUUGUGUAAUGUGACAUGUUGGUUUUCUGUAAUUCUAGGCAAUGCUGAUGAAAACUGAUGAAAUUGCUCAUGUUUUUUGCUUAGGGAAUUGCUUGGCCUUCACUGCUGCUAGUGAAAACAAUACUAGCACAAAGAGUCGUGUGCAAAAGACAGCCAGGAAUAAGGCUGGGAAAAGAUUUCUAAGACAGAGUAGUAUCUAGAACUGAAACCUUGGUGAAAAACACCAUGAGAAAAACAACAGGUUUUUUAGAACUUGCCAGUAAAAAAUGUCACUAGCCAAGACUUAGUCUUGACAAGGCAGCACUGCAGAAAAAAAACAAAAAAGCAGUUAUUUGAUUAGUGAAAGAAGCAAUGCCUGAAUUCCAUUACUCAUUUUGUUUUACAGGAAGAAUUUUUUGGCAAGGAUUUUAGGGUACCAGGAUACUUGCAGAACUUAUUGACAGAGUGGACAUCAGCUAGGGCCAGGGAAGCUCAGACACCUCAACCCUGCACUACUCCUGACUCUGUGGUACUCCUGGCUCUGCACACCAACUACUUCUAACAGGAAAAUACGGGAGGAAGACACCAUUCUGUAAGAAUUUAAACUCCACAGUCCUUGGAGGAAUUAACAGCUGACUAUCUAAUCAGUCUUUCAGUUUCCCACUGCUGGCACCAGACUUGCCAAUCUGCAGUUAAAUGCCAGGGAAUUGCACAACAGCCCAGGAACACCUGAGUGAGAAAAGCUGUGAGGAAUUAGUUUGUUUUGCUUGUUUUAAGUGAUCCUGGGAAGACAUUAAAAGUAAAGUGCAAAUCCUGAUCAAAUCAGCAUGACCAGCAGGUGUUGUACAAAAAUCCCUUUGUUCAAAAAAAGACAAGAAAAAGGAUUAUUAACUUACAGUGAUCUCCAUCCCUAAGAACUAUUUGUUCCCAUUGAGGAAGCAGUGGCAGUGUCUACAUUGCUGUACAAAUGUGAAGUAGGAAACAGUCUGUGGGAAAUAAAACCAGCCUCUGGACAAACAAGUUUAUUUGCAGCUGGUUUUGGAAGGGCUGGGAGAAGACAGGUUGCUGCAUUACAAUUACAGACUGCUUUUCCUUUUAUCAAUUUCACAUAAUGAGUUGAAUCAAGCAGAGCAUACAUUA